CUACGGGGGGCAGCAGUGGGGAAUAUUGCACAAUGGGGGAAACCCUGAUGCAGCCAUGCCGCGUGUAUGAAGAAGGCCUUCGGGUUGUAAAGUACUUUCAGCAGUGAGGAAGGGUGAUAAAUUAAUACUUUAUCAUUUUGACGUUAGCUGCAGAAGAAGCACCGGCUAACUCCGUGCCAGCAGCCGCGGUAAUACGGAGGGUGCGAGCGGUAAUCGGAAUUACUGGGCGUAAAGCGCAUGCAGGUGGUCUGUUAAGUCAGAUGUGAAAGCCCGGGGCUUAACCUCGGAAUCGCAUUUGAAACUGGCAGGCUAGAGUACUGUAGAGGGGGGUAGAAUUUCAGGUGUAGCGGUGACAUGCGUAGAGAUCUGAAGGAAUACCGGUGGCGAAGGCGGCCCCCUGGACAGAUACUGACACUCAGAUGCGAAAGCGUGGGGAGCAAACAGGAUUAGAUACCCUGGUAGUC
rnacentral:rRNA from 1 species